AUUAGCUCAGUUGGUAGAGCAUCUGACUUUUAAUCAGAGGGUCGAAGGUUCGAGUCCUUCAU
rnacentral:tRNA from 1 species